UUCAUCGAUUAGAAAACAAAAGAAAACAAAAGUGGCGCCUCUUUGAAGAAGCGCCAACAAAAGUGAUGUAAUUGUUUUGUCUUGAGAAAAGAUUAAAAUUUGUUUACUUUGAUCUGAUUUUAAUUGUUCCACUCUUUUUGUUUAAUCUUUUAAUCGGUCAAAUUUUUCCUAUCAUUUUUAAAGAAGAUAAAACUGAGUGAAGGUAAGUACUACAAGGAAACAAUUAGCUACUCUAAUCAAGGAUCAUGAUUGAAAAUGAUUGACUUUGGGGUAACAACAGUUAGCACCCAUUAGUAGAGGUCUUAAAGUAUUUGGUUAAGUAUUAUACACACAGUUGGUGACCUGGAGUACAAAUUAUCACGAUAAACGAUCAAACAAGAAACAACAACAACAAGAUGACUUUUGGUUCUGAGGUUUGAGAUGUGAAACCAACAUGAAACGAGGAGAUGGACAGAGAGAUAGAUGGACUGGAUGGUAAAAUACUCUCAUGAUUAUUAUGAUUGUGCUGAUAGUAAUUAUAACGAUGAGAGAGAGAGAGAGAGAGAGAUGCUGAUGAUGAUAAUGAUGAUACUCUAAAAGUAAAAGGAAAAAGGUGGCGAAGGUGAAAGAGGGGAGAUGAGAGAGGAAAAUGCUUGGUGGGUGUGAAACACACGAAAAGAGGAGUUUUGGUGCCAAUAUAUUGAACACCACUAAUUAUCUGUGGGGGUUUCACAAGUAACAACAAUGGAAAAACAAACUUGAAUCCAUGUUUACCAAGCAACAACAAAGAGAAGCCUUUUCUUCAACAAAUCAACAUAAAAUCAUCUACACCUUCAUCCCCAUAAUCAUAACGAUAAUCAUCACUAUCUACACGUUACUUGGUGUAAAAAAUUUCUUCUCAUCAAGAGCAUAUGUUUUUCCAAAUCGUUAAGUCAAGUGAAGUCGACUGACGAUACUUAUAAGAUGAUAAUCAAGAUGAAUAUGAUGCUGAUGAUAAUACGAAAACCCCUAAGGGUAAUAUUUACUCACAUACCCAAAGGUUUUCAUCUCGAAGGAAAAGUGUAAAUAUAAGGUUGACAGGUUAAAUUACUAAUAACCAUCCUAAUGGAUAUAAUAAUAUGGUAUUAUUAUCAUUCUCAUCUCGUCUUCAUAACCCAAAGUAUCAAUAUCCGUGUUUAUUAUUAUUCAAAGUGACCAAGGAAAAAAGAUCUGACCUCUUCUCAAGGAGGAGGAAAAUCACUCCCAAGGUGAAACCAACACCUAUUUUCAACUGUAAUCAGAAACUGUUGAAAGGUGAAAUACAAUUGGACCUAAAUUAUUAUCAUCUUCAUCCUUCUUAACUUAAUAUUUGUCUACAAUUAGCCAACAAUCAGUUAUUAAUCUCUAGAAGUAAAAAUUGAUGAUUUACCUGAUGAAUUGUUGUUAUGUUAAUCUGAUAGUUUCUAACCUUGAAUAGAUUCAUAUUCAAUUUGUUUUUGUAAAGAAAAAACUUGUUAUUAAUUAUCCAAGAUGACCAAUGGAUAAAUUGUUGUAAUUAACUAAUCAUCAAUCCUUGUUUCCUCUUGUUAAUCUUUCGAAGGUCAAUUUACAGGAUAUUCAAACAAAUCAAGUUUAAUUGUUGUACUAACUGUCUAACAGUUUAAUCAGAAUUGCUAAUAACUAAAUUGAAUAGGAAAACAAUUUGAAUUAAUCUUUACUAAAUUGAAGCUUCUUCAAUUUUAGUUAAACAUUAAUUCAUUUAUGUUAUUAUUUUAAUCAUACAGUUAAUCAAACAGUAACAAUUUAACCUCAGGGCUCAAAGUGAAUUAUGAAUUUAACCAAUUCACUAAUAUAACUUUAAUCAACUCAAUUAGUUAAUCAUAUCUGAUAAUCUUCAAUGAAGUUUAAACAAAAUUAACAUUUUGAUUUAACUUAAUUUCUUAUUAUUAUGAUUAACUUAUUACUUUGAGAGUUAAUUAAACGACGAAGGCAUCAUUACAAUCAACAGUUAAAUUAAUCUAACUAAUGAUAAAUCACUAUUGAGAAAUUAAAUUAAUAAUCAGCUGUAAAUCAUUUUCGUCUCUUUUUAUCCGCAAUCAAUUUAAAUUACAGUAACAAUUUAAAGUGAAUUUCAAUGACAAUUAUGAUUUAAAUGUUUUUAGCUUCAAGUUAAUUUAUUAAUUUUGAUCUCAAUUAAACUAAUUGUAAAUAAUCAAUUGCUUUUUAAAAG